CUUCAAGCGCCAUGCACCGGAAGCAAUGCUUUCGGUUAACGAGGAGAAGGGUUAUCGAAAAUUCGGCGGAUGCCCUUUCGUACAUCCCGGUGCGAGAUAUAUUGGCAAAUAUGCGGGUAACUGCAAAACAAAUACA
rnacentral:ncRNA from 1 species